UCCGAGUUGACCCCGGCAGUCUCCUAUGAGUCCCCACCAUUACGUGCUGGCAACAUAGGACGAGGGUUGCGCUCGUUGCGGGACUUAACCCAACAUCUCACGACACGAGCUGACGACAACCAUGCACCACCUGUGAAUGACCCUUGCGGACCUCACAUCUCUGUGAGAUUUCCAUUCAUGUCAAGCCUUGGUAAGGUUCUUCGCGUCGCAUCGAAUUAAGCCACAUGCUCCGCCGCUUGUGCGGGCCCCCGUCAAUUCCUUUGAGUUUCAACCUUGCGGUCGUACUCCCCAGGCGGGGUACUUCCUGCGUUAGCGCCGGCACCCAGAGGGUCGCUCCCCCAGGCACCUAGUACCCAUCGUUUACGGCGUGGACUAC
rnacentral:misc_RNA from 1 species